CCAUAAAUAAUCUCGUUGCUUCAACGUUUAGUUCAACUAAGUCGUCGCUUUUGUCCUCGUUGUCUUCGUUUUUGUUACUUGAAACGACAUAGUCGUGUGUCAACAUGAUUUUUAAUCAUCAUUCGAAUGGUAUUACAAGAUUCUGGAAUUUCAUUUUACACAUCGUUGGAUUCUCUUUCACGUUUACAUCAUCUCUUUGCUUAAUAUCAAGUAAAAUGCGCAGACGCUUUCAAGUAUUAUCCCCGGGAAAUUUGAAACGGUAAAGAAAAAUGAGAGACUUACCAAUGUGACGAGUCGAUAAUUCCUAUGUACCGCAGCAUCACCGUGACAACGGACAACGGUUGACAACAUCUUAUUAUCAAAUAUAUCAAUAAAUCUUUAUCGAAUUUUUUAUCGUGAAAUU